CUACGGGUGGCUGCAGUGGGGAAUAUUGCACAAUGGGCGCAAGCCUGAUGCAGCCAUGCCGCGUGUAUGAAGAAGGCCUUCGGGUUGUAAAGUACUUUCAGCGGGGAGGAAGGGAGUAAAGUUAAUACCUUUGCUCAUUGACGUUACCCGCAGAAGAAGCACCGGCUAACUCCGUGCCAGCAGCCGCGGUAAUACGGAGGGUGCAAGCGUUAAUCGGAAUUACUGGGCGUAAAGCGCACGCAGGCGGUUUGUUAAGUCAGAUGUGAAAUCCCCGGGCUCAACCUGGAAACUGCAUCUGAUACUGGCAAGCUUGAGUCUCGUAGAGGGGGGUAGGAUUCCAGGUGUAGCGGUGAAAUGCGUAGAGAUCUGGAGGAAUACCGGUGGCGAAGGCGGCCCCCUGGACGAAGACUGACGCUCAGGUGCGAAAGCGUGGGGAGCAAACAGGAUUAGAUACCCUCGUAGUC
rnacentral:rRNA from 1 species